rnacentral:rRNA from 1 species
CCUGACCGAGCGACGCCGCGUGCGGGAUGAAGGCCUUCGGGUUGUAAACCGCUGUCGUAGGGGAGGAAGGUUUGGUGUAUAGCCAAGCUUGACCGAUCCUAGGAGGAAGGGCCGGCUAAUCUCGUGCCAGCAGCCGCGGUAAUACGAGAGGCCCAAACGUUAUUCGGAAUUACUGGGCUUAAAGAGUUCGUAGGCGGCAUUGCAAGUAGGGUGUGAAAGCCCUCGGCUCAACCGAGGAAUUGCGCUCUAAACUGCAGUGCUUGAGGAACCUAGAGGUGAGCAGAACAGAUGGUGGAGCGGUGAAAUGCGUUGAUAUCAUCUGGAAUACCGGAGGCGAAGGCGGCUCACUGGGAGUUUUCUGACGCUGAGGAACGAAAGCCAGGGUAGCGAACGGGAUUAGAUACCCCGGUAGUCCUGGCCGUAAACGAUGAGCACUAGGCCGGAGCCCUGCACAGGGUUUCG